rnacentral:rRNA from 1 species
UACGUAGGGUGCGAGCGUUAAUCGGAAUUACUGGGCGUAAAGCGUGCGCAGGCGGUGAUGUAAGACCGAUGUGAAAUCCCCGGGCUUAACCUGGGAACUGCAUUGGUGACUGCAUUGCUGGAGUAUGGCAGAGGGGGGUGGAAUUCCACGUGUAGCAGUGAAAUGCGUAGAGAUGUGGAGGAACACCGGUGGCGAAGGCAGCCUUCUGGGGCCAACACUGACGCUCAUGCACGAAAGCGUGGGGAGCAAACAGG